rnacentral:rRNA from 1 species
GGACUACCGGGGUAUCUAAUCCCGUUUGCUCCCCUGGCUUUCGCGCCUCAGCGUCAGAAAGGGUCCAGCAAGCCGCCUUCGCCACCGGAGUUCCUAUGGAUAUCAAUGCAUUUCACCGCUCCACCCAUAGUUCCGCUUGCCCCUACCCUCCUCGAGGCCCUCAGUCUCCGAGGCUCUUCUCCAGUUAGGCUGGAGGAUUUCACCCCGGACUUGAAGGCCCGCCUACGCGCCCUUUAAGCCCAGUGAUUCCGAACAACGUUCGCACGGUUCGUCUUACCGCGGCGGCUGGCAC